UAGCCAUAUUGAUAGGAUCACCGGCACGAGCUCAGCCAGCCGAAGCGGACAACGAACCUCGCAGACGAAAUCACGGAAAAUACAAUGACAGUCGAAGAUGCAGAAUUCGGGACAUCAGAAAAACAGCUUGACGUGUUGCUGCACUUCCUUUCACCUGUAACCAAACUGUCAUGGAUUGUGCUCUUGUGUGCAGGUGUGUGUUGGUGUUCCAAGCAGACGAGCAAGGCAUGAGCAUGAGGGCCAUGGGCUAGACGUAAGGAAGCAGAUGGGCAAGUCAAAGGCCAUGAAGUAGGAACAAUGGAGACCGUGGGCGAAGAGGAGGUGGCAAGAUUAUCGGAGUGACCCUAUCAAGGCUCAAGAUUAUUCAAGCAACCCAACCUGCUUAUUUUGAGAUUUCAUGUGCUAAGAUUAAUAAAUCAUCAUUAUUAUACAAACAGUG